CAGCCGCCGCGGUAAUACGUAGGGUGCGAGCGUUAAUCGGAAUUACUGGGCGUAAAGCGUGCGCAGGCGGUUUUGUAAGCCAGACGUGAAAUCCCCGGGCUUAACCUGGGAAUGGCGUUUGGGACUGCAAGGCUUGAGUAUGGCAGAGGGGACUAGAAUUCCUGGUGUAGCAGUGAAAUGCGUAGAUAUCAGGAGGAAUACCGAUGGCGAAGGCAGGUCCCUGGGUUAAUACUGACGCUCAUGCACGAAAGCGUGGGGAGCAAACAGGAUUAGAUACCCUGGUAGUCCACGCCCUAAACUAUGUCAACUGGUUGUUGGGGGUUUGACACUCUCAGUAACGAAGCUAACGCGUGAAGUUGACCGCCUGGGGAGUACGGCCGCAAGGUUAAAACUCAAAGGAAUUGACGG
rnacentral:rRNA from 1 species